rnacentral:rRNA from 1 species
GCUUAACACAUGCAAGUCGAGGGGCAGCAUGGUCUUAGCUUGCUAAGACUGAUGGCGACCGGCGCACGGGUGAGUAACACGUAUCCAACCUGCCGUCUACUCUUGGACAGCCUUCUGAAAGGAAGAUUAAUACAAGAUGGCAUCAUGAGUCCGCAUGUUCACAUGAUUAAAGGUAUUCCGGUAGACGAUGGGGAUGCGUUCCAUUAGAUAGUAGGCGGGGUAACGGCCCACCUAGUCUUCGAUGGAUAGGGGUUCUGAGAGGAAGGUCCCCCACAUUGGAACUGAGACACGGUCCAAACUCCUACGGGAGGCAGCAGUGAGGAAUAUUGGUCAAUGGGCGAGAGCCUGAACCAGCCAAGUAGCGUGAAGGAUGACUGCCCUAUGGGUUGUAAACUUCUUUUAUAAAGGAAUAAAGUCGGGUAUGGAUACCCGUUUGCAUGUACUUUAUGAAUAAGGAUCGGCUAACUCCGUGCCAGCAGCCGCGGUAAUACGGAGGAUCCGAGCGUUAUCCGGAUUUAUUGGGUUUAAAGGGAGCGUAGAUGGAUGUUUAAGUCAGUUGUGAAAGUUUGCGGCUCAGCCGUAAAAUUGCAGUUGAUACUGGAUAUCUUGAGUGCAGUUGAGGCAGGCGGAAUUCGUGGUGUAGCGGUGAAAUGCUUAGAUAUCACGAAGAACUCCGAUUGCGAAGGCAGCCUGCUAAGCUGCAACUGACAUUGAGGCUCGAAAAGUGUGGGUAUCAAACAGGAUUAGAUACCCCUGGUAGUCCACACGGUAAACGAUGAAUACUCGCUGUUUGCGAUAUACG